GGUGCUAUAGUGUAGUGGUUAUCACUCGAGAUUUUGAUACCUCAGUAGAAUUCUCGAAACCCAGGUUCGAACCCUGGUAGGACCU
rnacentral:tRNA from 1 species